GACGAACGCUGGCGGCGUGCCUAAUACAUGCAAGUAGAACGCUGAAGAGAGGAGCUUGCUCUUCUUGGAUGAGUUGCGAACGGGUGAGUAACGCGUAGGUAACCUGCCUUGUAGCGGGGGAUAACUAUUGGAAACGAUAGCUAAUACCGCAUAACAAUGGAUGACACAUGUCAUUUAUUUGAAAGGGGCAAUUGCUCCACUACAAGAUGGACCUGCGUUGUAUUAGCUAGUAGGUGAGGUAAUGGCUCACCUAGGCGACGAUACAUAGCCGACCUGAGAGGGUGGUCGGCCACACUGGGACUGGAACACGGCCCAGACUCCUACGGGAGGCAGCAGUAGGGGAUCUUCGGCAAUGGGGGGAACCCUUACCGAGCAACGCCGCGGGGGUGAAGAAGGUUUUCGGGUCGGAAAGCUCUGUUGUGAGUCAAGAACGGGUGUUAGGGUGGAAAGUUCACACUGUGACGGUAGCUUACCAGAAAGGGACGGCUAACUACGUG
rnacentral:rRNA from 1 species